rnacentral:lncRNA from 10 species
GUGUAAGAAGUGCCUUUUGCCUCCCACCGUGAUUCUGAGGCCUCCCCAACCAUGUGCAAUUGCACAGGCCCAGGCUGAAGAGGAAAGACAAGAGCCGCCCUGCCCAGAAACGUCCACAUGUGGGUACUGCAUUCCUACCGGUGUGACAGGUCGGUGUGACAGGCACCGGUGUGACAGGUCGGUCACGUUGGCUCCCUGGCACGCGGCAGAGUGGGGACCGUGCCCCCGUGAGUGUCACACUGGGGUCCACACCAGGCUGAUCCACUGUGAGCUGGGAGUUGCCAUAGAGACUCUAUAAAUACAACCAAACAUCUUCCAGGGAACAGAAGCGUUUCUCAUCCCAAACCUCCACAUGGCCCUGGAGAUCCCCAACACCUUGAGGCCCCCACGCCCGUCACAGUGGCAGGUGUAGCUCCCUGGGGAGUUCACGCAGACCUGCUCACAGCGGCCCUGCAGACACUCGUCCACAUCUGCCAGCCAGAGGGAAGCGGCGGUGAGCCGGGGAGGCCUCUACGCUGUCCCGCCGUGGGAUCACACCGCGAUUGCUCAAACCACACGCAAGGUCCUGCCAUCAGAGGAGAGCUCGAAGCCGCUGUGGCAGGAACAGUGGAAGCUACCCGGCUUGUUGUGGCAGAUCUGGAGGCAGCCCCCGUUCUCCUGGCUGCAUUCGUUGACAUCUGGGAACAAGCACAGGCCUGAAGGGGAGCCCAAGGGUGCACAGCCCCUGGCUACGGAGGAGGCUGCAGGCCAGGAGUGACCUCUGGGUGCCGAGGACAGACAAGGCCAGGCCAGAGCUGGCCACUCCUUAGCAAAGCCCUCCCAGGCCACCUGUGGGGUAGGAUUUGCCAAAGGGGACAGGCUGGCCUGCUGGGCUCUCCACUAUGGGUCUCCACCAGGCCCUGGAGCUAUUCUUCCUCCAGGGUCUUCACUGACACCACAGGUCUACACUGAAGGACGGUCAGAGGUGAAAUCUCCCCCCGGCCUUUCAAUCAGUGGGUG